rnacentral:rRNA from 1 species
CCUACGGGAGGCAGCAGUAGGGAAUCUUUCACAAUGGGCGAAAGCCUGCUGGAGCAACGCCGCGUGCAGGAUGAAGGCCUUCGGGUUGUAAACUGCUUUCAUAAGCGAGUAAUAUGAUGGUAAUUUAUCACUAAGGAUCGGCUAACUACGUGUCAGCAGCCGCGGUCAUACGUAGGAUCUGAGCAUUAUCCGGGGUGACUGGGUGUAAAGAGUUGCGGAGUUGGGAUAAUAAGUAGCUAGUUAAAUCUGCUGGCUCAACCAUUGAGACUAUUAGCUAAACUGUUAAGCUCGAGACCAUUAGGGGUAACUGGAAUUUCUAGUGUAGCAGUGAAAUGCGUAGAUAUGGAGAGGAACACUCGUGGCGAAGGCGGGUUCCUGGACAUUAACUGACGCUGAGGCGCGAAGGCAAGGGGAGCGAAAAGGAUUAGAUACCCGAGUAGUC